UACGGGGGGGGUAAGCGUUGUUCGGAAUUACUGGGCGUAAAGGGCUCGUAGGCGGCCAACUAAGUCAUACGUGAAAUCCCUCAGCUUAACUGGGGAACUGCGUGUGAUACUGGAUGGCUUGGAUUUGGGAGAGGGAUGCGGAAUUCCAGGUGUAGCGGUGAAAUGCGUAGAGAUCGGGAGGAACAUCUGUGGCGAAGGCGACUGCCUGGACCAGCACUGACACUGAGGCACGAAAGCGUGGGGAGCAAACAGG
rnacentral:rRNA from 1 species